rnacentral:rRNA from 1 species
UACGUAGGUGGCAAGCGUUGUCCGGAAUUAUUGGGCGUAAAGGGCGCGUAGGCGGCCUUCUAAGUCAGAUGUGAAAUCCCUGGGCUUAACCCGGGUCGUGCAUUUGAAACUGGAAGGCUUGAGUGCAGGAGAGGAAAGUGGAAUUCCUAGUGUAGCGGUGCAAUGCGUAGAUAUUAGGAGGAACACCAGUGGCGAAGGCGACUUUCUGGACUGUAACUGACGCUGAGGCGCGAAAGCGUGGGGAGCAAACAGG